GGAAUCUUCGGCAAUGGGGGCAACCCUGACCGAGCAACGCCGCGUGAGUGAAGAAGGUUUUCGGAUCGUAAAGCUCUGUUGUAAGAGAAGAACGUGUGUGAGAGUGGAAAGUUCACGCAGUGACGGUAACUUACCAGAAAGGGACGGCUAACUACGUGCCAG
rnacentral:rRNA from 1 species